AGGUGUGAACUGUAAAACUGGCUGCCACCCAGAGAAUGGAUUUUGUGAAUUUCCCAGUGAAUGCAGGUGUCAACCUGGUUGGCAGGGUGCUCUUUGUAAUCAGUGUGUUCCUUUCCCUGGGUGUUUGCACGGCAGCUGUGCCAAGCCCUGGCAGUGCAUCUGUGAGGAGGGCUGGGUUGGCAGCCUCUGUGACAUAGAUAUUCACCCAUGUUCUGCAAAGCCCUGCACCAAUAAUGCAACAUGCAUAGAGACUGGUGAUGGAGGAUAUAUUUGUCUGUGUGCCCAGGGUUUUACAGGAAAAAACUGCCAUCUCAAAAAAGGACCCUGCAUUAUUAAUGG